GACAGAGGGUGCAAACGUUGUUCGGAAUUACUGGGCAUAAAGAGCACGUAGGUGGUGCGCUAAGUUACGUGUGAAAUCCCCCGGCUCAACCGGGGAAUUGCGCGUGAUACUGGCGCACUUGGAGGCGGGUAGGGGUGAGCGGAACUCCAGGUGGAGCGGUGAAAUGCGUAGAUAUCUGGAGGAACACCGGUGGCGAAGGC
rnacentral:rRNA from 1 species